GACGAACGCUGGCGGCGUGCCUAAUACAUGCAAGUUGAGCGAUGAAGAUUGGUGCUUGCACCAAUUUGAAGAGCAGCGAACGGGUGAGUAACGCGUGGGGAAUCUGCCUUUGAGCGGGGGACAACAUUUGGAAACGAAUGCUAAUACCGCAUAACAACUUUAAACAUAAGUUUUAAGUUUGAAAGAUGCAAUUGCAUCACUCAAAGAUGAUCCCGCGUUGUAUUAGCUAGUUGGUGAGGUAAAGGCUCACCAAGGCGAUGAUACAUAGCCGACCUGAGAGGGUGAUCGGCCAAAUUGGGAAUGAGACACGGCCCAAACUCCUACGGGAGGCAGCAGUAGGGAAUCUUCGGCAAUGGACGAAAGUCUGACCGAGCAACGCCGCGUGAGUGAAGAAGGUUUUCGGAUCGUAAAACUCUGUUGGUAGAGAAGAACGUUGGUGAGAGUGGAAAGCUCAUCAAGUGACGGUAACUACCCAGAAAGGGACGGCUAACUACGUG
rnacentral:rRNA from 1 species